rnacentral:rRNA from 1 species
GCAGCUAUCUGCAGUCGAGGGGCAGCACAGGUAGCAAUACUGGGUGGCGACCGGCAAACGGGUGCGGAACACGUACGUAACCUUCCUUUAAGUGGGAGAUAGCCCGAAGAAAUUCGGAUUAAUACCCCAUAAGAUUGUGGAGUGGCAUCACUCAGCAAUUAAAGAAAUUCGCUUAAAGAUGGGCGUGCGGCUGAUUAGGUAGUUGGUGAGGUAACGGCUCACCAAGCCAACGAUCAGUAACUGGCGUGAGAGCGCGACCAGUCACACGGGCACUGAGACACGGGCCCGACUCCUACGGGAGGCAGCAGUAAGGAAUAUUGGUCAAUGGACGGAAGUCUGAACCAGCCAUGCCGCGUGAAGGAUGAAGGUCCUCUGGAUUGUAAACUUCUUUUAUAUGGGAAGAAACCACUUUUUUCUAAAGGUGUUGACGGUACCAUAGGAAUAAGCACCGGCUAACUCCGUGCCAGCAGCCGCGGUAAUACGGAGGGUGCAAGCGUUAUCCGGAUUCACUGGGUUUAAAGGGUGCGUAGGCGGAUUAGUAAGUCCGUGGUGAAAUCUCCGAGCUUAACUCGGAAACUGCCGUGGAUACUAUUAAUCUUGAAUACUGUGGAGGUUAGCGGAAUAUGUCAUGUAGCGGUGAAAUGCAUAGAUAUGACAUAGAACACCAAUUGCGAAGGCAGCUGGCUACACAGAGAUUGACGCUGAGGCACGAAAGCGUGGGGAUCAAACAGGAUUAGAUACCCUGGUAGUCCACGCCCUAAACGAUGAUUACUCGACAUUUGCGAUAUACAGUAAGUGUCUGAGCGAAAGCAUUAAGUAAUCCACCUGGGAAGUACGACCGCAAGGUUGA